rnacentral:lncRNA from 1 species
CAACUAUGUUGAAAAAGUCCACAUGGCAAAGAACUGCUGGUGGCCUUUAAGACCUGAGGGCAGCCUCCAGCUGAAAACUGACAGGCAGAAAAAAGUCAGGGUCUUCAGUCUCACAGCUACAGUGAAAUGAAUUCUGCAACCACCUGAUUGAGCUUGAAAUCUGAUGCUUUCCCAGCUAAGCCUCCAGAUGAAAAUGCAGCUUGGUUGAAACCCUGGCUGUAGCCCUGCAAAAAUGAGCAGAGAACUCAGCCAAGUUGUUACUGGAGACUCCUGACUUACGGACAAUAAGAGACCUAGAUGACAACAAGGAGGAAGGAUUUCGUCUGCCUCCAUUUCUCCAGUAGCUCUCUGGACAACAUGCUGCACCC